UACGGAGGGUGCAAGCGUUAUCCGGAUUCACUGGGUUUAAAGGGUGCGUAGGCGGGCAGGUAAGUCAGUGGUGAAAUCUUCGAGCUUAACUCGGAAACUGCCUUUGAUACUAUCUGUCUUGAAUAUUGUGGAGGUAAGCGGAAUAUGUCAUGUAGCGGUGAAAUGCUUAGAGAUGACAUAGAACACCUAUUGCGAAGGCAGCUUACUACGCAUAUAUUGACGCUGAGGCACGAAAGCGUGGGGAUCAAACAGG
rnacentral:rRNA from 1 species